rnacentral:ncRNA from 2 species
AUCAGGGGGCCUCGUGAUUUGUAUGGCCGGCUUGCGGCGAGGUAAAAAAAACGCGCUAAAGAGGCUCUGGCGGGAUCCAC